AGUGAACGCUGGCGGUAGGCCUAACACAUGCAAGUCGAACGGCAGCACAGUAAGAGCCUGCUCUUACGGGUGGCGAGUGGCGGACGGGUGAGGAAUACAUCGGAAUCUACUUUUUCGUGGGGGAUAACGUAGGGAAACUUACGCUAAUACCGCAUACGACCUACGGGUGAAAGCAGGGGAUCUUCGGACCUUGCGCGAUUGAAUGAGCCGAUGUCGGAUUAGCUAGUUGGCGGGGUAAAGGCCCACCAAGGCGACGAUCCGUAGCUGGUCUGAGAGGAUGGUCAGCCACACUGGAACUGAGACACGGUCCAGACUCCUACGGGAGGCAGCAGUGGGGAAUAUUGGACAAUGGGCGCAAGCCUGAUCCAGCCAUACCGCAUGGGUGAAGAAGGCCUUCGGGUUGUAAAGCCCUUUUGUUGGGAAAGAAAAGCAGCAGGUUAAUACCCCGCUGUUCUGACGGUACCCAAAGAAUAAGCACCGGCUAACUUCGUG
rnacentral:rRNA from 1 species